GCUGCUGUAGCUCAGUCGGUAGAGCAACUGAUUCGUAAUCAGUAGGUCACCAGUUCGAUUCCGGUCAGCAGCACCA
rnacentral:tRNA from 42 species